GAUGAACGCUGGCGGCGUGCCUAAUACAUGCAAGUCGAGCGAACAGAUAAGGAGCUUGCUCCUUUGACGUUAGCGGCGGACGGGUGAGUAACACGUGGGUAACCUCCCUAUAAGACUGGGAUAACUUCGGGAAACCGGAGCCAAUACCGGAUAAUAUUUCGAACCGCAGGGUUCGAUAGUGGAAGAGGGUUUUGCUAUCACUAAUAGAUGGACCCGUGCCGUAUUAGCUAGUUGGUAAGGUAACGGCUUACCAAGGCGACGAUACGUAGCCGACCUGAGAGGGUGAUCGGCCACACUGGAACUGAGACACGGUCCAGACUCCUACGGGAGGCAGCAGUAGGGAAUCUUCCGCAAUGGGCGAAAGCCUGACGGAGCAACGCCGCGUGAGUGAUGAAGGUCUUCGGAUCGUAAAACUCUGUUAUUAGGGAAGAACAUACGUGUAAGUAACUGUGCACGUCUUGACGGUACCUAAUCAGAAAGCCACGCCUAACUACGUG
rnacentral:rRNA from 1 species